rnacentral:tRNA from 1 species
UCAUCGGUAGUAUAGUGGUGAGUAUCCCCGCAUGUCACGCGGGAGACCGGGGUUCGAUUCUCCGCCGGGGAG